rnacentral:rRNA from 1 species
GCCGCGAGGCUCAGCCAAUCCCACAAAUCUGUUCUCAGUUCGGAUCGCAGUCUGCAACUCGACUGCGUGAAGCUGGAAUCGCUAGUAAUCGCGGAUCAGCAUGCCGCGGUGAAUACGUUCCCGGGCCUUGUACACACCGCCCGUCACACCACGAGAGUUUGUAACACCCGAAGUCGGUGAGGUAACCUUUUGGAGCCAGCCGCCGAAGGUGGGACAGAUGAUUGGGGUGAAGUCGUAACAAGGUAGCCGUAUCGGAAGGUGCGGCUGGAUCACCUCCUUUCUAAGGA